GUUUUAAUAAUUUAAUUUUAAAAUAUUGGUCUUGUAAAUCAAAUAUAAGUUUAACCUUUUAAAACU
rnacentral:tRNA from 1 species